GACGAACGCUGGCGGCGUGCUUAACACAUGCAAGUCGAACGGAAAGGCCCUGCUUUUGUGGGGUGCUCGAGUGGCGAACGGGUGAGUAACACGUGAGUAACCUGCCCUUGACUUUGGGAUAACUUCAGGAAACUGGGGCUAAUACCGGAUAGGAGCUCCUGCUGCAUGGUGGGGGUUGGAAAGUUUCGGCGGUUGGGGAUGGACUCGCGGCUUAUCAGCUUGUUGGUGGGGUAGUGGCUUACCAAGGCUUUGACGGGUAGCCGGCCUGAGAGGGUGACCGGCCACAUGGGGACUGGGAUACGGCCCAGACUCCUACGGGAGGCAGCAGUGGGGAAUAUUGCACAAUGGGCGGAGGCCUGAUGCAGCAACGCCGCGGGCGGGAGGACGGCCUUCGGGUGGUAAACCGCUUUCGCCGGUGACGAAGCGUGGGUGACGGUAAUGGGUAAAGAAGCACCGGCUAACUACGU
rnacentral:rRNA from 1 species